rnacentral:sRNA from 1 species
CUUGCAAAGGGAGGCUGAGUGCUGUCUUUCAGGUUGACACCUUCCCGGGGUAUGGGACACUGCAGGCUGGGAUGAACUGGGCCUUCCUGAGUAGUUAUGGGGCUGUGGGAGGAAAUGGAACCUCAGUGUCUUGCUCCUACCCUCCCCACCCCCACUUGCUUCAUCCUGCCCUGUAGCCCUCUGCAAUCCUGCGAGACGGCACUCUGAUUACUCCUCGCCUCUCUCCCAGGUCUACUGGCAUCUGUCCCUUCCUGUGUGGAAGACCUCAGUCACCCUGUGGCAGAGCCCAGCUCGAGCCAGGCUGGCAGCAUGAGCAGUGCAGGCCCAAGACCACUACCCAGUGGCCCAGCAUCCCCCAAACGCAAGCUGGAAGCAGCCGAGGAACCACCUGGUGAAGAACUCAGCAAACGGGCCCGGGUGGCAGAGUUGCCAACCCCAGAGCUGCCGAGCAAGGAUGCCUGAGACUGCAGAGCCCUUGCUCCGUGAGCAAAGCCUGGGUGCCCAAGCAGCCACCGCAGCAGCAGAGUACAACCUGCAGAGAAG